GAUGAACGCUGGCGGCGUGCUUAACACAUGCAAGUCGAGCGAGUGAGUUCUUUGGAACGAUCUAGCGGCGGACGGGUGAGUAACACGUGGGCAACCUGCCUCAUAGAGGGGAAUAGCCUCCCGAAAGGGAGAUUAAUACCGCAUAAAAUUAUCGAGUGGCAUCACAUGAUAAUCAAAGGAGCAAUCCGCUAUGAGAUGGGCCCGCGGCGCAUUAGCUAGUUGGUGAGGUAACGGCUCACCAAGGCGACGAUGCGUAGCCGACCUGAGAGGGUGAUCGGCCACAUUGGGACUGAGACACGGCCCAGACUCCUACGGGAGGCAGCAGUGGGGAAUAUUGCACAAUGGGGGAAACCCUGAUGCAGCAACGCCGCGUGAGUGAUGAAGGUCUUCGGAUUGUAAAGCUCUGUCUUUGGGGACGAUAAUGACGGUACCCAAGGAGGAAGCCACGGCUAACUACGUGCCAGCAGCCGCCGCCG
rnacentral:rRNA from 1 species